UAUAUAUAUAUAUAUAUUUAGAACUAGGCUACUGUACUAUCGGUACCACGGAGCGCUCCAUACUACCAAAUUAUUUUUGAUGAUGCGGCUUCCAAAUCGACGAUCGGUUCUGUUAGACUUGAUCUACACUAUUGAAAGUAUUUAAAAACUAAAUUUCAUAAUUUUUCGAUAUUAUUUACCUAUCAAACAAGUAGUCUAAAUUGAACGGCUGAAAAUAAAAAUCUCAUGAAAAAUGAUGAUAAAAGAUUUAAUUUCAAGAUCAGAUAUACUGAUCUUACUCUAAAUAGUGAAAAAAAUUUUCUAUAAAAUUUUCAUCGCAUUUGGAUUGCUUUACACCGUUAAACUCACAAACACACCACAUCGGCCAUUAAAAUUAUCAAUUUUGAGAUCUUUUGAUCACUAGUCAAAUAAUGUCGAAAAAAUUUGAAAUUUAGUUUUCAAAUACUUUCAAUAGUGUAGAUCAAGUCUAACGGAGCCGAUUGUCGAUUUGGAAGCCGCAUUAUCGAAAACAACUCGGUAGUACAGAGCGCUCCGUGCUACCGAUAGCAUAGUAGCCGGACUCUAUAUAUAUAUAUAUCUUGGAAAAAAUAAAUUACUUUA
rnacentral:lncRNA from 1 species